rnacentral:rRNA from 1 species
UACGGAGGGGGCUAGCGUUGUUCGGAAUUACUGGGCGUAAAGCGCGCGCAGGCGGACACGCGCAUCGGCGGUGAAAGGCCCCCGCUCAACGGGGGAGGGUCCGUCGAGAUGGCGUGUCUGGAGGCAGGGAGAGGCCAGUGGAAUUCCGGGUGUAGUGGUGAAAUGCGUAGAGAUCCGGAGGAACACCAGUGGCGAAGGCGGCUGGCUGGACCUGACCUGACGCUGAGGCGCGAAGGCGUGGGGAGCGAUCCGG